GCAGGCAUUUGCAGCUGUAACCUGGCUUGUGUUAAAAUUUGGAAGGGGCUGCUCCACAUUCCAGCACUCGGAGCGCCGGCCCUCACUGGUGAGCAGCCAAAGGUUAAUAUAGAUGUCACACAGCUCCCCCCUUCUUUCUUUCUUUCUGCAGAGCGCCUUUGCUAUAGGAGUGCACCAACAGCAGAAGCAAGCUGGUUCUUUCUAUUGCAGGUCAAAAACAAUGAGAUUUACCUACAUCAUCUAAAAUCCUUUCUCGGAAGCAUUCUUACAAAAUUGCGAAGUGGGCACUUGCUCUUGGGUCAUUUUGAGCCUGUUCUCACAG
rnacentral:lncRNA from 1 species